CGGAGCUGAAGGCUCUGCCGUGGGAAGGGAGCGCCGCAAAUAGCGGUCGUUUCAAGGAGACCGGAGAGCAGCGAUGUCCCGGGCACAAUGCCUAUGUUAUAUAGGCAAGCUGAAGCUGGAAUGGAAAAAGAAAGUUCCUACUGCAAAAGCAGCAAAGCUGGAAUGUGCUCUGAAGACUCAAGAUUGCUUUUCAGCUCUGUAGGUGUGAAUGGGAGAUGCUCCUGUCAGGGCAAUCAAGGAUGGCCAUUUCUAAUGAAGACAAAUUAUCUCCUUCAAAGGAGCGGCGAGCCUUGAUUUGGCUUAAUGGCUCACUAGUACGAAGCACGGAUUUAAUCAGAGCUCCAGCUUCUGUCACGCAUGGGCCUUGAAGACAGGUAAUUGGAGGCAGGUGCUAAGUACAAUUUAAAUGAAAUGUCUAGUUAAUAAGGAUAGUUUGAAACUAGUAACUUCUCCCCCUCCCCCAGCCCUAGCCCUUUCAGGGACAUGGAAGCAGCUAGAUGUGCUUAGGCUAAAUUUCUCAGCAUUGCCUUCCUCACUUCCAGCACUGUGCAGCUAUUUUGAGUUUGCUAGAUGUCCCAGUUGAAGUGAUCUUCUUCCAGAUAAGAUGUUCAAUCGAGGGAUUGUGAGUGUUCAGAAUGCUUUCUUUUGUGC
rnacentral:lncRNA from 1 species